rnacentral:lncRNA from 10 species
UCCAGCACGUUGUACAGCGAAACGGCCCCAGAAGCCCCUCUCCGAGGCGCGAGUUCGGUUUGGUUCUGGCAGGGGCUUUGCAGCUGUCCGGAAGGUGAAGUCAGCCUUGUGUCCUGAGGAGAAACUGGAGAUGCAGGUCGCUGUGCCCUCCCGCUGCUACGUCGCUGCGCCGGAUCCUGCCAUCCUUCCGCAAGGGGUGAGAGCGGGAACAGCCCUGCCCUGCCUUCCAGGUAUUAUCUAGCCUGGAGGCUGGAGCGCAAGGUAACGCUCCGGGAAGUGGCACUCGGGUCCCCGCACACGGGCGAGUCCUCAGCAGUUCAGUGGACAGACCCGCAGGACGCGGCUGCCAAGUCCGCGAGGCAAGGACCAGGCAUCUUCCCGCGCCUCACUCCAGCCUGCGGACUGUGACUUUCCAUCCCAGUAUCAGACAAGCUCGCGAGUAACUGAACAUCCUUUCCAGUCCAUGGGUGGGGUGUGGAAAGGGCGUAAAACUCCAAAGUGGCUCCUCCGCGGUGAGCGAGCUGCCCCGGGGCUCUGCCUGACUGCAGCGCGAAGCCUGGGAGAACAAACCCAGUUCCCUCCGUCAAGAAAUUUCCAUUUAAGUCCGAGAAAGUCAUAUGAUUGAGAAGUUCAGCAGCGGCGGCGAGGACCCAGUGUCUGGGAAAGAACACCUGGAGGAUGGGGUGUCCAGGACGCCGGCUUUUCGGGGUUCCGACCCCACCCACCUUAUGUUGUAACAUACAAGCUUAGAGACCUGUUGCAAGGAACAACUGACUGGGUCUUCCACCACCCCUGGCACCCGGGUGGCCCAAAGCCUAUGCGCCCUUGGCGGAGAGAGAGGCCACGGUGCCACUGGCCGCAGCCUCUGGCCUUCAGAAACAGUGUAUUACAAAGAAAAGGCAGUUUAAAUCUCACAUUCAGCAUAGGGAAAACUGAAGGGUGCCAGGCUCGGGGACUUCUUCCAACAGAGUGGCUCUUCCCCAAAUAUGAAAGAAAAUCAUCAAAUUAAAUUGAAGGCAAAACUAAGCUUCCACCACAAAGACAUAGCAGAUAGUUGCAAGGUGGAUUCCUUCGGGCCUUUUCCUUUCCUAAGGCUAAAACAAUGCUAAGACAAAAGUCUUCUUGCAGCUGUCUCCGCCCCUCCGAGAUAAAUACUUUCCCAAUUCUCCCCCACCCUGUACACACACCCACGCCCGCGGCAGCUGAUUUCUGUCUUCUGCAAUAGCUCGAUUUAAAUGCUUUGCUUUUACUCUUUAUUAUCACUAUUAUUUGUGUGAAGCCCUCUCGCCUGCUCCUGGUCACCAGCAGGAGCCUGCUUCCCUCCCUCCUUCCCCCCAAGCCUCUGGGCAGCAGAAGCUAGCUGGGAGCUCUGUGCAGCUGGCGGCGACGCCAUGUGACUGUGAGCCGAGCACCAUCACCCAGAGUCACUCUCUAGCUUUCCCCUAAUACACUUCACACCCACGCACUGUGGAGGUGCGAGAGAGGUUGCUCCGUGCGGUGCUAUUCGAGGCAGAUGCAGAGAGCGCCCUGGAGUAAGCUCUCCAAUCCUAGAGCUGCGCGGGACCCUGACUGAAGGCGGAGGGGGCGGGAGGGGGUGCUGUUGCUAUAUUUAGACUCCCUAUGGAGUUUCUGUGCAGGGACUUUCAGGGUGAAAGAUCUAGAGACUUAAAAUGACUCGUGUGCCCGCUUUAAACGUCAAAAUCUUGGCCUUUCUGCAAGCAGUAAAAUGAAAACCACUUCCUCUUAACUUAGCUGUUUUCCUUGUUGCAGACUGCUACUUUCGCUGGGUAGGUAAAGUCACUUCCAUCUCUCUGGCGCGGCUGGGCCCCGCGUGCAGGCAAGAAGUCUCAGGAAGGCAGGACACAGGGACACGUUUCCCUGGAAGACAGCCAGCUGUUUAAUUUCUAAGUGAUGCUUUUCUGGGGAUGCAGCAUUAGUUCUAGUGAAACUGUAUUAUUGAUUAAGCAAAUGCCAUUUAAGCUUAAUUAAAAAAUAAAAAAGACCCGGUUACUGGUAGCCGUUUUGAGCUGCUGAGAAGGACCUUUCACUUAUGUCUUCUAGAGUAACCGCCAUUUGGAUACACAGCCCAGAAAAAGAGGGCCUGCUCAAGUUUUCGCGGGUAGUGUGAGAGUUACUAGGAAUCCAACAACCUGGCUUCCUAGUUCACUGUUCCUUCCACCAAUCAAUCUGCAUCUCCAGCAGAGAAUGGAUAAAAUAGCAAACAGUUCUGGGGUUUUGUAUCAAUCUCUGACUGCAACCAUUGGGAAAGACUGGCUUAGCUGAAGUUCUAACCUUCCUACCUUUCAAUGCCCAGAAAGAAAAAGCCAAAAAUUAAUCAGAGAACCCAGGACAACGUCAGAGAUCAUAUGAGCCUCACCAGACUGCAUGAGAGUCAUAACACAGUAGGAGUCCCAGGCCUACCUCACAUGGCAAAUGGGACAGUGUUCUUCAGAACAACCUCUGCCCCAGGGAUGCAGAAAGGAGGUGGGUGUGAAUGAGUGUGGCUGUAAGGAGAGGCUGGUAGAGAAAUAGUGCGGAAAGGGCUCAACAAGUUCUCACCAUUUUUAUUCCAGCAGCUAACAAAAUUACUGUUUCUAGGAAUUACUGAAAUAUUGUGCUGAUCACAAUUGUUGAAGCAAAAUAAUAGCAAAUACUUAUCAUGUGUUUUGUAUGUGUUAGGCACUGUGGUUUACAGUAAUUAUUUCAGGCCGGA